rnacentral:rRNA from 1 species
GAUGAACGCUGGCGGCGUGCUUAACACAUGCAAGUCGAACGAUGAAGCCCAGCUUGCUGGGUGGAUUAGUGGCGAACGGGUGAGUAACACGUGAGUAACAUGCCCUUAACUCUGGGAUAAGCCUGGGAAACUGGGUCUAAUACCGGAUAGGAGCGCCUACCGCAUGGUGGGUGUUGGAAAGAUUUAUCGGUUUUGGAUGGACUCGCGGCGUAUCAGCUUGUUGGUGUGGUAAUGGCUCACCAAGGCGACGACGGGUAGCCGGCCUGAGAGGGUGACCGGCCACACUGGGACUGAGACACGGCCCAGACUCCUACGGGAGGCAGCAGUGGGGAAUAUUGCACAAUGGGCGGAAGCCUGAUGCAGCGACGCCGCGUGAGGGAUGACGGCCUUCGGGUUGUAAACCUCUUUCAGUAGGGAAGAAGCGAAAGUGACGGUACCUGCAGAAGAAGCACCGGCUAACUACGUG